rnacentral:rRNA from 1 species
AGUGAACGCUGGCGGUAGGCCUAACACAUGCAAGUCGAACGGCAGCACAGUAAGAGCUUGCUCUUACGGGUGGCGAGUGGCGGACGGGUGAGGAAUACAUCGGAAUCUACUUUUUCGUGGGGGAUAACGUAGGGAAACUUACGCUAAUACCGCAUACGACCUACGGGUGAAAUCAGGGGUUCUUCGGACCUUUCGCGAUUGAAUGAGCCGAUGUCGGAUUAGCUAGUUGGCGGGGUAAAGGCCCACCAAGGCGACGAUCCGUAGCUGGUCUGAGAGGAUGAUCAGCCACACUGGAACUGAGACACGGUCCAGACUCCUACGGGAGGCAGCAGUGGGGAAUAUUGGACAAUGGGCGCAAGCCUGAUCCAGCCAUACCGCGUGGGUGAAGAAGGCCUUCGGGUUGUAAAGCCCUUUUGUUGGGAAAGAAAAGCAGCAGGUUAAUACCCCGCUGUUCUGACGGUACCCAAAGAAUAAGCACCGGCUAACUUCGUG